AUUGAACGCUGGCGGCGUGCCUAACACAUGCAAGUCGAGCGGUAACAGGUGUAGCAAUACAUGCUGACGAGCGGCGAACGGGUGAGUAAUGCUUUGGAAUCUUCCCAGUAGUGGGGAAUAACCAGUCGAAAGAUUGGCUAAUACCGCAUACGUCUGUAAAGGGAAAGCGGGGGCUCGCAAGACCUCGCGCUAUUGGAUGAGCCAAAGUCGGAUUAGCUAGUUGGGGGGUAAUGGCCUACCAAGCGACAAUCCGUAGCUGGUCUGAGAGGACGACCAGCCACACCGGAACUGAGACACGGUCCGGACUCCUACGGGAGGCAGCAGUGGGGAAUAUUGGACAAUGGGGGAAACCCUGAUCCAGCGACGCCGCGUGUGUGAAGAAGGCCU
rnacentral:rRNA from 1 species